rnacentral:lncRNA from 1 species
GAUCGGUGACUGCGACUAGAUAGAGCACUUUUAUAACUACACUUUUUGCAUACUGCUUGCUGGAUUCCAAGUUGGAAUAAAGGAGAUAUUGGAAUUUAAAGUCAGCGUAUGUAACCUAAGGAUAGUAAGUAAUCCGAUUUACUAGUAGUUGUAUCUUGAACUAUAUCUUGAAUAAUUUGAUAAGGUUUUGGCUCAAAAUUUUAGAAAAUAUGUGUAUUCAUGUUAGUAAAUAUUGUACAUAAGUUUGAUGACAUUUGAGUAUUGGAUUCUUGAGUUAUUAAGAAAAUAGUGCUCAGGUGCUUGUAAAUUAGGGUUUAGAGCAUCUGUUAGGAUUUUUUAGAUGCUAGAAGAUCGGAAAUGAAUUUGUAGUUGGUUGUUUUUGUGAUAAAACGUAAGGGUGAAUUCUACCUAUUCUAUAAAAUUGAGAUAAACUGAAUGGUUAGAUCAAGA